UCAUCUUAAAAAUAAAAAUCAGUGCCCAUUU
rnacentral:piRNA from 1 species